rnacentral:rRNA from 1 species
AAUCUGCGAUAAGCGCCGGUAAGGUGAUAUGAACCGUUAUAACCGGCGAUACCCGAAUGGGGAAACCCAGUGUGACUCGUCACACUAUCAUUAACUGAAUCCAUAGGUUAAUGAGGCGAACCGGGGGAACUGAAACAUCUAAGUACCCCGAGGAAAAGAAAUCAACCGAGAUUCCCCCAGUAGCGGCGAGCGAACGGGGAGGAGCCCAGAGCCUGAAUCAGCAUGUGUGUUAGUGGAAGCGUCUGGAAAGGCGCGCGAUACAGGGUGACAGCCCCGUACACAAAAGCGCAUGUGCUGUGAGCUCGAUGAGUAGGGCGGGACACGUGGUAUCCUGUCUGAAUAUGGGGGGACCAUCCUCCAAGGCUAAAUACUCCUGACUGACCGAUAGUGAACCAGUACCGUGAGGGAAAGGCGAAAAGAACCCCGGCGAGGGGAGUGAAAAAGAACCUGAAACCGUGUACGUACAAGCAGUGGGAGCACCCUUUGGGGUGUGACUGCGUACCUUUUGUAUAAUGGGUCAGCGACUUAUAUUCUGUAGCAAGGUUAACCGUAUAGGGGAGCCGCAGGGAAACCGAGUCUUAACCGGGCGUUAAGUUGCAGGGUAUAGACCCGAAACCCGGUGAUCUAGCCAUGGGCAGGUUGAAGGUUGGGUAACACUAACUGGAGGACCGAACCGACUAAUGUUGAAAAAUUAGCGGAUGACCUGUGGCUGGGGGUGAAAGGCCAAUCAAACCGGGAGAUAGCUGGUUCUCCCCGAAAGCUAUUUAGGUAGCGCCUCGUGAAUUCAUCUCCGGGGGUAGAGCACUGUUUCGGCUAGGGGGCCAUCCCGGCUUACCAACCCGAUGCAAACUGCGAAUACCGGAGAAUGUUAUCACGGGAGACACACGGCGGGUGCUAACGUCCGUCGUGAAGAGGGAAACAACCCAGACCGCCAGCUAAGGUCCCAAAGUCAUGGUUAAGUGGGAAACGAUGUGGGAAGGCCCAGACAGCCAGGAUGUUGGCUUAGAAGCAGCCAUCAUUUAAAGAAAGCGUAAUAGCUCACUGGUCGAGUCGGCCUGCGCGGAAGAUGUAACGGGGCUAAACCAUGCACCGAAGCUGCGGCAGCGACACUCAGGUGUUGUUGGGUAGGGGAGCGUUCUGUAAGCCUGCGAAGGUGGCCUGUGAGGGUUGCUGGAGGUAUCAGAAGUGCGAAUGCUGACAUAAGUAACGAUAAAGCGGGUGAAAAGCCCGCUCGCCGGAAGACCAAGGGUUCCUGUCCAACGUUAAUCGGGGCAGGGUGAGUCGACCCCUAAGGCGAGGCCGAAAGGCGUAGUCGAUGGGAAACGGGUUAAUAUUCCCGUACUUGGUGUUACUGCGAAGGGGGGACGGAGAAGGCUAUGUUGGCCGGGCGACGGUU